AUGGGACGCAGGGGAGUCUGGUCAUUGGCCCUGGGCUCUCGUAUUGGGAGGCGGCAAAGCGAGGUCCCUGGUCACUCUGCUGGAUGGAGAGAACCAGCCUCCCGACAGAAUCUUCUAGUCCCCAGACAGGCACAACUGGCCAGAAGGCGGCCCAGCGUGGGGUGGGGGGGGCGAAGGCAGGGGCUGCCUGUCCCACCGCAGGCUGUCACCAGGGCGGGAGUGACCCCAGAAGCUAAAAUAAGACUUGUGUGCUCCAAAAAUGCUCUGCCAAGGGCACUGCCAGCGCUGGAAAUAGGCCUGCCUGCUGGCUUCCCGCCCAGGACUCAGGGUGGAGCGCCAGAGACCCGCUUCCAUCCCACCCCUUUUAUCCGGGGAAGUCAGGCCCUCGCCACCAGGAGCUGCCUUGCUCCACACAACGCUUGCUGGAGAGUCUGGGCAGACUCGGGAGAGUCACUUGUGGGCUCACCAGCUUGUGCUCGCGGCCAGCAGAGGUGCAGGAAGCCCUUUAUGAGCCCGGGGACCCCAAGGACGGCUUCCUCUCACUGUGCACGGUGGGCAGGGCAGGCUCACUGUGCUGAGAGGACGCAGACAAGUCCCCUGCCCCUCUGCUGCCCGCAGCUUCACCUGCGUCCCCAGCCUCCCCCUUGUCUCAAGAGGUGGAGACGGAGGCCCGGAGGGAAGGAGAGAGGGGGACCAGCCUUCUUGGCACACCUCCCAGGUCCCUCGUACGACGCCUUCACUGCCCUUGGCCUCCCUAAGAGGCCCCUCAUCCCAUGUUACAGAAGGGAAGACCGAGGCUCAGAGAGGCCAGGGAGCUUGCUCUGGGUCACGUCACAAAGCUCUUUGGUGGUGAAGCUCUACCAGGAGUUAGGAUCCCUGGUGCUGAGUCAAUACACCCUCCCACCUCCGUGGGGAAGGACAGAGGGGCUCAGACACCCCCACCGGCAACCCCGCAGGGCCCCUGGGCGCCUCCGACCCCAGGCUGCGCACCCUAACCCUGGGAGCAGGCGGCUCUGGUGCAGCCAGGUCUCUGCCAGCUGCGUGGCAAAUGGCUUGUUCCUUCCCUGA
rnacentral:lncRNA from 1 species